rnacentral:rRNA from 1 species
GAUGCAUUCAACAAGCAUAUAACCUUGGUCGAAUGGCCUGGGCAAUCUUGUAAACGUGCAUCAUGAUAGGGAUAGAUUAUUGAAAUUAUUAAUCUUGAACGAGGAAUUCCUAGUAAAUGCAGAUCAUCAAUCUGUGUUGAUUACGUCCCUGCCCUUUGUACACACCGCCCGUCGCACCUACCGAUUGAAUGGUCCGGUGAAGACUCGGGACCGUGUUUGGAUGUCUUUAUUGAUGUCUGAUUAUGGGAACUUGUCUGAACCUUAUCAUUUAGAGGAAGGUGAAGUCGUAACAAGGUUUCCGUAGGUGAACCUGCGGAAGGAUCA